rnacentral:rRNA from 1 species
GAUCCUGGCUCAGAUUGAACGCUGGCGGCGUGCUUAACACAUGCGAGUCGUACGCGAAAGGGACUUCGGUCCCGAGUAAAGUGGCGCACGGGUGAGUAACACGUGGAUAAUCUGCCUCUAUGAUGGGGAUAACAGUUGGAAACGACUGCUAAUACCGAAUACGCUCAUGAUGAACUUUGUGAGGAAAGGUGGCCUCUGCUUGCAAGCUAUCGCAUAGAGAUGAGUCCGCG